GAAUGUGGGGGCGGCUCCCAACAAAGUAAGGCGCUUCCUACACCCAUUUCCAGCUGGCCAAGUAGGACCAAGAUAAUCAUCACGGAGGAAGAGGAGAGGUGGGGAUGCCUCUCAGAUCAAAGUCUUCAAAGGCAAACCAGCUGCAUGUUUGUGAAGAUCGUGUUUGGCUCCGGCUCAAGCAGACAGCCCUGAAUGAGAUUCUUGGGGUAGCUACUGAAAACUGGCAGCAGGCUGUGUGACUCACCUCCACCUCCUGGGGCCAACCUGAUGCAGUAAUGGGCUUAGGCCAGCUCCCCUGCCCUGGUCUCACGUUUGUACCAUCCCUUCCCAUGUGCUGUGUGCGCCGAUAAAGUGAACGUCCAAAUCUAAGACAAAGAAACCUGCAGGCCAGUCAUGAUUAGUGAGCUGCCCAGAAGACCAUACCUCUGUGGCUUUUUCAGUGUCGCACGGGGCUUUGUUAUCCAUGCAUAAACUGAGCUGAUGGCUCCUGGGGUUGCCUAUGGAGGCAGAAUUUUCAACCCUCCAGCUCUCCUGCUCAGCACCACAUCAGGAGAACAGCAUGCCUCUCUCCCUGGAAUGAAGAGGCCUUGAUCAUCCAACAACAGAUUCUACCCAAUGGAAAUGCCAGAGUUUUGCAUGUCAAAUAAGUAGUAGUGGACGUGAU
rnacentral:lncRNA from 1 species